rnacentral:rRNA from 1 species
UACAGAGGUCCCAAGCGUUGUUCGGAUUCACUGGGCGUAAAGGGUGCGUAGGCGGUGAGGUAAGUCUGACGUGAAAUCUCCGGGCCUAACCCGGAAACUGCGUUGGAUACUAUCUUGCUAGAGGAAUGGAGGGGAGACUGGAAUACUUGGUGUAGCAGUGAAAUGCGUAGAUAUCAAGUGGAACACCAGUGGCGAAGGCGAGUCUCUGGGCAUUUCCUGACGCUGAGGCACGAAAGCUAGGGGAGCAAACAGG